AUCCAUCCCACCGCCUUCAGGUCCCCUUCCCAUCCCCACAUCCCCACCCACAAGUCUGUUUUCUCUGUCUGUACCACAGAUAAUCUUGAAUUUCAGUGGCUGCAGUGGAGAAAUUUGAACCAUCUUACUUUUGAUUUAUUCUUAUUCUCGAUAUAGCUUCGUAGCAAUGCCACAUACCUUCUUAAAAAACAAAUGAUUGGCACCCAAGUGCAGAGCGGUGAGCUGCACACACGUGCAUCCCUGCGCGCUGGCUGCAGGAGCAACAGGAGGCUGUACUCUGAAGAGUCUUUUCUGGCCUCUCUGUUCACCUCCAGGCAGUGACUCAGGAACACAGAGAUCUGGGCACCACUCGAAUGAGGAAUUCCUGGUCUGAGACGAAACUAUAGUUGGCCCAAAGGCAAGCUAAGUUUCCGGAGGAGGCUGAAGAGAAGCAGCGGUCAUUGUAUUCUGACCUUUACGGUUGGACCCCAGGGGCGGCUGGGGGCUUGGCUUUGACCUUUCCCUCUUUCCUGAUGCUGGCCUUGACCGUCAAAAACGACCUCAGGUCUCCACCCAAGGCUUUGCUGACAACUCAGAGGUGGCAGCCAUGAAGAGCCAACAGCUUUCCAAAGACUUCAUCAGCCGCAUUCCAGCAGCGGGACCUGCUGAGUCCCUGCAAGUUCUGACACCUGUGUGGCUUUCCCCUUUCUUUUUCAACACCGAGUUUUGGACCUUUAUUUUUGCAGCUCUUCGCACAAAUGUUUUAAAACUGUUGUUGAGGUGGGAGAGAGGCCAAGACGACAGAGGAGAUGGACUUUGACCACACCUCCUUUCAGGAACACACCAAAAUCACAGCUGCUGAACAAACAUUUCCCAGACUAGCAGAGCUAAACUUUUGUUUUUUUGGAUGAGACACAUUUUGCUAAAAUUACCUGCUGUUGUUUGUGAUUCCGGUGGUGAUGCUGCCAGCUGGAGAAAAGGGGCGGCAGCUUGACUGAAAUUCUCAUGUUUGAUAUCUUCAAAGUGGAUCCCGCAAUUACUUCCCUCCAUUUUAAAUUUUAUAACACAGUGGGGCUACUUAGAUUGUUAAAUGUAGUCCUAAGGUUUUUUGAUGUUUCCCCAAAUUCUGAGACUUGUUUUAUAAUCAUGACUGCAUAAAAACUCUCAGUGGCUUAGCAGACUUACAUGGUUACAAAGGAAGCUCACUUCCAUAAAAUACUCAUGUAAUAAAAAAAAAUCUUUUCUUUGGUAUUCAGCUAUGUUAGUGCCCUGGAGAAGAUGAGCCCAUGUUAGUCCUUCACCAUAAAGUUGUAUAUUGUCAUUAUGACAGCAUUCCAAAA